rnacentral:rRNA from 1 species
AAAACAUCGCCUCCUGCAACACAACCAAAUAUAGGAGGUCCAGCCUGCCCAGUGACUACAAGUUUAACGGCCGCGGUAUUUUGACCGUGCAAAGGUAGCGCAAUCACUUGUCUUUUAAAUAGAGACCUGUAUGAAUGGCCAAACGAGGGCUUAGCUAUCUCCCCUUUCCAGUCAGUGAAAUUGAUCUACCCGUGCAGAAGCGGGUAUAAUAAUACAAGACGAGAAGACCCUUUGGAGCUUAAGGUACAAAACUCAACCACCUAAAGCAACUCAAUGAAAAGCAAAAACUUUGUGGAAAAUGAAAUUUUACCUUCGGUUGGGGCGACCACGGAGGAAAAUAAAGCCUCCAAGUGGACUAGGACAAACCUCCUAAAACCAAGAGAGACAUCUCUAAGCCACAGAACAUCUGACCAAACAUGAUCCGGCUAACAAAGCCGAUCAACGAACCAAGUUACCCUAGGGAUAACAGCGCAAUCCUCUCCCAGAGUCCAUAUCGACGAGAGGGUUUACGACCUCGAUGUUGGAUCAGGACAUCCUAAUGGUGCAGCCGCUAUUAAGGGUUCGUUUGUUCAACGAUUAAAGUCCUACGUGA